GGACAGAGGGGACAUCGCCAUCUGAUCCACCCAAGGAGACUCGGAAGUUCUUUUUGCACGUGUCAACUCCUGUGCUGCAAUAUGCCACGUGAACUUUCUCUGUCAUUACAAGUCCCAUCACUUGGGAAAUGAAGCCGUGAAAUGUCACCCCAAGUGCAUAGGAAGACCUGCUCCUUGCAGCCGGGAACCGUGUCCAGAGUUAGUGUUCCAUGCAUAUGUCACCCUGGUUGUCUGCGAAAGGCUUGCGUCUCUCUCCAUGGGAUUUCUCCAGAAGAACCACAUUCGGGUUUUCUUGUCAAAUUCACGGAGCUCCAGCUAGCAAGGGUAGAGAGCACGCCAGGGAUCGUGCUGUGUGCCCACAGACGAAAGGAGCCCCAGCCCUAAGUC
rnacentral:lncRNA from 1 species